rnacentral:lncRNA from 1 species
GGCCUUUCAGAAGAGGCGGAGCCUAUCUCUCAUCAGGACCAGUCUGACUGCACCUGCAUCCUUAGCUCAGAGCAUCCCUGGAGCAUCUAAGAGGAAAGCGCAGCUAGCAACCAGGGAUCGUACUGCAGGGGCAAUCGGUCAUGCACCUUCCCCUCCCCUGAUCUGGAGGUCUACAGCCGCGGCCUCGGUACUGACCGAGAUUCCCAAAGUUGUCUGACCUCUGCAAAAGUGUUUCUAUCAACAGCCUCUGAUUACAACAUGGCUGAGAUCACAAAUAUACGCCCCAGCUUUGACACCUCCAGAUCCUAGCAGUGACCUCAAGGUCUCCAAAGAAGAUGAUGGGUCACAGAAGAACUCCACCUGGAACAUGCUUUAACUGUGGCGAGGACAGCUUCUAUGAAACACUGCCCUUCACCUUGCCCACGGCACAGCCUCUACGAACUGAGGACCAAGUGCGAUACUGGGGAGCUGACUGGCCCACUUUGCCUAGACAACAUAGACUGGUCCUCCAAGCCCCUCCUCCACAGGAAGGUCUGUUGGAUCUUUUGGGCCUGAUGGCCAAAGGCUGUCCAUAGAGCUUGAUUGUCAGGUAGCCAGUAAGGAUCUAUUAUGUUUAAUAGACUCAGGACCUACUUGAUGUAUACUUAUUGAAUCACUGUUGGGUUCCGAGCUCCUACUAUGACUCAAACACGUGAGUCUAUUGACUUUUCUGCAAUGUGGAUCUCAAUAGAAAUUACACAGUGGUAAUGCUAACAUAUGUAAAAUUUUAUCUUUUGAUAAACUUAAAAUUCUUGUAAGUUGAAUGGAACUGAUUUGAAUUGUCCUCUCCCAGGUAAAAUAGACUCCAUAUAAAUACUGUCACCCAACA